rnacentral:rRNA from 1 species
AGGACGAACGCUGGCGGCGUGCUUAACACAUGCAAGUCGAGCGGAAAGGCCCUUCGGGGUACUCGAGCGGCGAACGGGUGAGUAACACGUGAGCAACCUGCCCUUAGCUUCGGGAUAGCUCCGGGAAACCGGAAUUAAAUACCGAAUAUGACUGCGGCUGACAUCAGCCACGGUGGAAAGUUUUUUCGGCUAGGGAUGGACUCGCGGCCUAUCAGCUAGUUGGUGAGGUAACGGCCCACCAAGGCGACGACGGGUA